rnacentral:rRNA from 1 species
UACAGAGGGUGCAAGCGUUGUUCGGAAUUACUGGGCGUAAAAGGGCGCGUAGGCGGUGAGAUGUGUGUGAUGUGAAAAGCCCCCGGGCUUAACCUGGGAAAGUGCAUCGCAAAACUAUCUGACUUGAGUAUAUGAGAGGGGUGGCGGAAUUUCCGGUGUAGCGGUGAAAAUGCGUAGAGAUCGGAAGGAACGUCAAUGGCGAAGGCAGCCACCUGGCAUAAUACUGACGCUGAGGCGGCGAAAAGCGUGGGUAGCGAACAGG